rnacentral:rRNA from 1 species
GAUGAACGCUAGCGGCAGGCCUAACACAUGCAAGUCGAGGGGUAACAUGGUAGCUUGCUACCGAUGACGACCGGCGCACGGGUGCGCACCGCGUAUGGAACCUGCCUUUUACAGGGGAAUAGCCUUUGGAAACGAAGAUUAAUGCCCCAUAGUACCGUUUUGCAGCAUUGCUUUACGGUUAAAGCCUUCGGGCGGUAGAAGAUGGCCAUGCGUCCCAUUAGCUAGUUGGUAAGGUAACGGCUUACCAAGGCUACGAUGGGUAGGGGCCCUGAGAGGGGGAUCCCCCACACUGGUACUGAGACACGGACCAG